rnacentral:rRNA from 1 species
CAGUCGCCGCGGGAAUACAGAGGGUGCGAGCGUUAAUCGGAUUUACUGGGCGUAAAGCGUGCGUAGGCGGCUUUUUAAGUCGGAUGUGAAAUCCCUGAGCUUAACUUAGGAAUUGCAUUCGAUACUGGGAAGCUAGAGUAUGGGAGAGGAUGGUAGAAUUCCAGGUGUAGCGGUGAAAUGCGUAGAGAUCUGGAGGAAUACCGAUGGCGAAGGCAGCCAUCUGGCCUAAUACUGACGCUGAGGUACGAAAGCAUGGGGAGCAAACAGGAUUAGAUACCCGCGUAGUCCCUGUCUUCUUAUA